rnacentral:rRNA from 1 species
UGGGGGAUAUUGCACAAUGGAGGAAACUCUGAUGCAGCGACGCCGCGUGAGGGAAGAAGGUCUUCGGAUUGUAAACCUCUGUCUUUGGGGACGAAGAAAGUGACGGUACCCAAAGAGGAAGCCACGGCUAACUACGUGCCAGCAGCCGCGGUAAUACGUAGGUGGCGAGCGUUGUCCGGAAUUACUGGGUGUAAAGGGUGCGUAGGCGGACUGGCAAGUUGGAUGUGAAAUCUCCGCGCUUAACGUGGAGGUUGCAUUCAAAACUGUUGGUCUUGAGUGAGGCAGAGGCAGGCGGAAUUCCCGGUGUAGCGGUGAAAUGCGUAGAGAUCGGGAGGAACACCAGUGGCGAAGGCGGCCUGCUGGGCCUUAACUGACGCUGAGGCACGAAAGCAUGGGUAGCAAACA